CCUACGGUGAGCAGCAGUGAGGAAUAUUGGUCAAUGGCCGUAAGGCUGAACCAGCCAAGUCGCGUGAAGGAAGAAGGAUCUAUGGUUUGUAAACUUCUUUUAUAGGGGAAUAAAGGUAUCCACGUGUGGAUAUUUGCAUGUACCCUAUGAAUCAGCAUCGGCUAACUCCGUGCCAGCAGCCGCGGUAAUACGGAGGAUGCGAGCGUUAUCCGGAUUUAUUGGGUUUAAAGGGUGCGUAGGUUGGUUUUUAAGUCAGCGGUGAAAGUUUGUGGAUCAACCAUAAAAUUGCCGUUGAAACUGGAAGACGUGAGUGUUGUUGAGGGAGGCGGAAGGCGUGGUGUAGCGGUGAAAUGCAUAGAUAUCACGCAGAACUCCGAUUGCGAAGGCAGAUUACUAAGCCAUAACUGACACUGAAGCACGAAAGCGUGGGGAUCAAACAGGAUUAGAGACCCGGGUAGUC
rnacentral:rRNA from 1 species